CCCUUAGAUGUUCUGGGCAGCACGCGCGCUACAAUGGUCUUCGCAAACGGAUGCAUUCCCGAAGGAGAAUACCAAUCUUGGAAUCUAUGCCUUGGUCGGGACAGUUGCUUGCAAUUUUUCGACUCGAACCAGGAAUUCCUUGUAAUCGUGAUUCAUCACAUCACGAUGAAUACGUCCCUGCCCUUUGUACACACCGCCCGUCGCUCCUACCGAUCGAAGAGUUAGGUGAAUUGUUUUGAUCGAUAAGAUUUGACUAUGGUCAACUCUCGUUGUGAAAUUCUGUGAAUCUGACUGUUUAGAGGAAGGAAAAGUCGUAACA
rnacentral:rRNA from 1 species